GAGUCUCCCCUUUUCGAUCGAGGCAGUUCCGGUUCGAGGUUGGAGUUGGUGGCCGAUUCGGCUCCGGUUUUUUUGUUUUUCGACAGGCGGUGGGCCGCCUCCGGGCUCCAAAAACUGGGACUCGCACCGACCCCAACUCGUUGCUGGGCCAGAGGUGGGCCGAGGUGAGAGCCCAGUACGUCAGGGGCUGGGGUUACAGUCCGACCGUCAACAGGGGAAACACAGAAGCGCCGUUUUUAAACAGCCGAGCGAGCAGCAGUAAUGUUCAGUGUUUGUGUUUUAAAAACCGGUAAAUAUAGAAGCAAAAUCCAAGCAGCAACGGUCUGAGGAGGAGACCCAAAGCUUCCUGGAACUGUGGUCUUCAUAUGAAAUUCAGUGGAAGUUAGAGGGAGCCUCUUGGACCACACCAGUGUUCGAAACAAUCCAGUGGGAGAUGGCUACAGCUGUACGAACGGAGCCUGACUAACUCCUCAACAACUAAAAAGUUCAGAAAUGACUACAAGAACCAGAAAAGGCAGCCGGGAUGCAGCAGUUUUUGGCCAAAAAGAGCCCCAAUUUUUUCCGGCUGCAUUCCGUGAUUCCAACCGGGUCCCUGAACGCAACAGCUGAGCAUUCCGUGAUUCCAACUGGGUCCCUGAACGCAACAGCUGAGCAGGAGUUGAUGCAGGCCGCAGUACCGAUCAUGAUAGUUGUCGGCCUAGGAUGAUGAGGUCCAGUUACCAGGAUCACUACUCUGCAGCUUACUGGUUCCAUCCUGCAGCUCCUUCAUGCUGUCCUCCUCGCUACAGACCAAAUCAAGACAAAGGAACCAGGAUGCUACUGUGGAUCUGCUGCAGUAUCUGGAGACGUCAGAGGAACGGUUCUUGGAACAGAUCUGAAGACACCGAGACCUGACCACUGCCAUGCUCCAGAACAUCCAGAGGACGGAUGAAAAUUCAAUCACCUUUGCUGGACUGAUGGGACGCAUGGUGUCGGUGCUGGAGCGACUGUCACAGAAAUAAACUGCAUUGUCCACUAUUCCUACCUUUUUUAGAAAAAGGAAUCAUAUUUUUUAUAAAUUAUUUUCCUUCUUAGCAAUUUAAGUACACUGGUAUUUUACUCUUGCAUUUUGGGUGAAUACAAAUAUAUUUGUGAUGAAAGAUGCGUGUUUUGUCUAUAAUCUACAGAGAUUUUAUUCAGUGUUAAGUGCACACUUCUACGUACACACAUUUUGACAGAUAAUCAGUUGUGCUUUUCAAGCAGAUUUCAAUCUGAAACAUAUCAGCAACAUACCAGUAUGUUGUUUCUUACAACAUAUGUCACACCAAGCUAGAUAAACUGCACUACUGCAGCAGAUAUAUUAUUGAAGUGUGCUUACAUUACAUGUCUACAUACACUACUCACAAAAAGUUACUCAACUUUCAGGUGACAUUUAUGGAAAUUGUAAAAAUUAAUGCUAUGGUGAUAUUAAAUCAUGAAAGUAGGGCAUUUAAGUAGAAACAUGCAAUAGUGAUUUCCUCAUCUCAAACAAUUUAUUAAAACAAAAGCUAACAGCAGUGAAGGGUAUAUCACAAUAAAAAUGUCUCAUGACAGUUUGCAUAGAACAGCAGCUUUCAACUGAAAUCCGGUACAGUUGUGUCCCACCAGUAGCGUGAUCACGGAUGUUCCCAGACAACAGCUGACCUCUGUCUCGUAAUUAAGAUCAUCUAUAAAGGUAAAUAUAGAUACCAUCAUCAAUUUAUUGCGUUUGUUUAACUGCUAUGUAGGUUAGCCGCAGCAAGACGGAGUAUCUGUGUGUGAAUGAGAGGGACCCAAGGGGAAGAGUGAGGUCACAGGGAGAAGAGAUCAAGAAGGUGGAGGAUUUUAAGUACUUAGGGUCAACAGUCCAGAGCAAUGGAGAGUGUGGAAAAGAGGUGAAGAAGCGUGUACAGGCAGGCUGGAACAGCUGGAGAAAAGUGUCAGGUGUGAUGUGUGAUAGAAGAGUUUCAGCUAAAAUGAAAGGAAAGGUUUACAAAACUGUGGUGAGACCAGCCAUGUUGUUUGGUCUGGAGACAGUGUCCCUGAGGAAAAGACAGGAGGCAGAGCUGGAGGUAGCAGAACUGAAGAUGCUGAGGUUCUCUUUGGGAGUGACCAGGAUGAAUAGGAUCAGGAAUGAGUCCAUCGGAGGGACAGCACAUGUUAGAGGCUUUGGAGAUAAAGUCAGAGAGUCCAGACUGAGAUGGUUCAGACAUGUCCAGAGGAGAGAGAGUGAAUAUAUUGGUAGAAGGAUGCUGAGUUUCCCACUGCCAGGCAGGAGGCCUAGAGGAAGACCAAAGAGGAGGUUUAUGGAUGUGGUUAAAGAGGACAUGAAGGUAGUUGGUGUGAGAGAAGAGGAUGCAGCAGACAGGGUUAGAUGGAGGGAAUUGAUUCGCUGUGGCGACUCCUGAAGGGAGAAGCCGAAAGGAAAAGAAGAAGUUUAACCGCUAUUUAAUGGAUGCAAACGUAUUUGAGGCUAAGU